UACAGAGGGUGCGAGCGUUAAUCGGAAUUACUGGGCGUAAAGCGUGCGCAGAUGGUUACGUAAGUCGGGUGUGAAAGCCCCGGGCUCAACCUGGGAAUUGCAUUCGAGACUGCGUAGCUAGGGUGCGGAAGAGGGAAGCGGAAUUUCCGGUGUAGCGGUGAAAUGCGUAGAGAUCGGCAGGAACACCCAGGGGGAAACCAGUCGACUGGGCAGCACCUGACGGCUGAGGUGCGAGAGCGGUGGGGAGCGG
rnacentral:rRNA from 1 species